GAUGAACGCUGGCGGCGUGCCUAAUACAUGCAAGUCGAGCGAACAGACGCGGAGUUUGCUCCUCUGACGUUUGCGGCGGACGGGUGAGUAACACGUGGAUCACCUACUUAUAAGACUGGGAUCACUUCGGGAAACCGGAGCUAAUACCGGAUAAUAUAUUGCACCGCAUGGUUCAAUAGUGAAAGACGGCUUUGCUGUCACUUAUCGCUGGAUCCGCGCUGCAUUAGCUAGUUGGUAAGGUAACGGCUUAUCAAGGCGACGAUGCGUAGCCGACCUGAGAGGGGGAUCGGCCACACGGGAACGGGGACGGGCUCCAGACGCCUGCGGGAGGCAGCAGUAGGGAAUGUGACGCAAUGGGCGAAAGCCUUACAGAGCAGCGCCGAGUGUGUGACGAAGGUCUUCGGAUCGUAAAGCUGGGUUAUGAGGUAAGAACAAAUUUGGAAGUAGCUAUGCACUGCUUGACGGUACCGAAUCAGAAAGCCACGGCUAACUACGUG
rnacentral:rRNA from 1 species